AGGGUUUCGGCUCGUAAAACUCUGUUGUUAAAGAAGAACACCUUUGAGAGUAACUGUUCAAGGGUUGACGGUAUUUAACCAGAAAGCCACGGCUAAUUACGUGCCAGCAGCCGCGGUAAUACGUAGGUGGCAAGCGUUGUCCGGAUUUAUUGGGCGUAAAGCGAGCGCAGGCGGUUUUUUAAGUUUGAUGUGAAAGCCUUCGGCUUAACCGGAGAAGUGCAUCGGAAACUGGGAGACUUGAGUGCAGAAGAGGACAGUGGAACUCCAUGUGUAGCGGUGGAAUGCGUAGAUAUAUGGAAGAACACCAGUGGCGAAGGCGGCUGUCUAGUCUGUAACUGACGCUGAGGCUCGAAAGCAUGGGUAGCGAACAGGAUUAGAUACCCUGGUAGUCCAUGCCGUAAACGAUGAGUGCUAAGUGUUGGAGGGUUUCCGCCCUUCAGUGCUGCAGCUAACGCAUUAAGCACUCCGCCUGGGGGAGUACGACCGCAAGGUUGAAACUCACAGGAAUUGACGGGGGCCCGCACAAGCGGUGGAGCAUGUGGUUUAAUUCGAAGCUACGCGAAGAACCUUACCAGGUCUUGACAUCUUCUGCCAAUCUUAGAGAUAAGACGUUCCCUUCGGGGACAGAAUGACGGGUGGUUGCAUGGUUGUCGUCAGCUCGUGUCGUGAGAUGUUGGGUUAAGUCCCGCAACGAGCGCAACCCUUAUUAUCAGUUGGCCAGCAUUCAGUUGGGCACUCUGGUGAGACUGCCGGUGACGACCCGGAGG
rnacentral:rRNA from 2 species